GAAGAAGUCAGUAAACAUUGUCUAGAUUGAGUCUAGGACAAGUGUGUGUGCGUAUUUCUUGUAAUCUCAAUUCUAUAGUGGAUUCGUUCUGGACUAAGGAGUCCCGUGGAUUUUCCCCAGAGGUGGGGUUUUACCACGUAAAAUAAAUAUCUGCGUGUUCUUUUAUUUUAAGCUUUGCACAUCUCAGGAUUGAUAACUCAUAUCAAUCCUGCUUCAAAGGUUGAUCAUUAUUUAUUGCAAAAAAUCUGAAUUAGCUUGUUUAACCUUCUCCAGGCAUUUAUAGAUAUCCUAC
rnacentral:lncRNA from 1 species